rnacentral:rRNA from 1 species
ACUCAAAUGAAUUGACGGGGACCCGCACAAGCAGUGGAGGAUGUGGUUUAAUUCGAAGCUAAGCGAAGAACCUUACCGAGACUUGACAUCCUAGGAAUCUUUGGGAAACCAUUGAGUGCCCCUCAUAGAGUAUGAUUUUUUCGUACUCUGCGAGGGGAACCUAGUGACAGAUGCUGCAUGGCCGUCGUCAGCUCGUGUCGUGAGAUGUUGGGUUAAGUCCCGCAACGAGCGCAACCCUCGUCAUUAGUUGUAUUUUCUAAUGAGACUGCCCGGGCCAACCGGGAGGAAGGUGGGGAUGAUGUCUGGUCAGCAUGGCUCUUACGUCUCGGGCUACACACGUCCUACAAUGGCAACUACAAAGCGCAGCCAAACCGCAAGGUGGAGCAAAUCGCAUCAAAAGUUGUCUCAGUUCGGAUUGAGGGCUGAAACUCGCCCUCAUGAAGCUGGAAUUGCUAGUAAUGGCAGGUCAGCCAUACUGCCGUGAAUACGUUCCCGGGUCUUGCACACACCGCCCGU